ACGAACGCUGGCGGCGUGCUUAACCCCUGCAAGUCGAACGGGUCUGCCCUGUUUUUUGCGGGGUGGGUCAGUGGCGAACGGGUGAGUAACACGUGAGUAACCUGCCCCUCACUUCUGGAUAACCGCUUGAAAGGGUGGCUAAUACGGGGUGUUCUGGCUGUGCCGCAUGGUGUGGCUGGGAAAGCUUCACUUUUGUGGUGUUUUGGUGGGGGAUGGGCUCGCGGCCUAUCAGCUUGUUGGUGGGGUGAUGGCCUGCCAAGGCUUUGACGGGUAGCCGGACUGGGUGGGUGGGCGGUCACGCUGGGACGGAGCGCCCCGCCAUCCUCCGGCGGGAGGCAGCGGGGGGGGUUGGUGCACAAGGGGGGGAAGCCUGAUCCAGCGACGGCGGGGGAGGGAGGGAGUCCGUCGGGUUUGUAACUUUUUUCGGCGGGAAAAGAAGCCCUCGUUUUUUUGGUGGGGUUGACGGUAGCCGGUGAAUGAAGCCCCGGCUAACUACUG
rnacentral:rRNA from 1 species